rnacentral:rRNA from 1 species
AUUGAACGCUGGCGGCAGGCCUAACACAUGCAAGUCGAGCGGGAACUUCGGUUCUAGCGGCGGACGGGUGAGUAAUGCGUAGGAAGCUACCCGACAGAGGGGGAUACCAGUUGGAAACGACUGUUAAUACCGCAUAAUGUCUACGGACCAAAGUGUGGGACCUUCGGGCCACAUGCUGUCGGAUGCGCCUACGUGGGAUUAGCUAGUUGGUGAGGUAAUGGCUCACCAAGGCGACGAUCCCUAGCUGGUUUGAGAGGAUGAUCAGCCACACUGGAACUGAGACACGGUCCAGACUCCUACGGGAGGCAGCAGUGGGGAAUAUUGGACAAUGGGCGAAAGCCUGAUCCAGCCAUGCCGCGUGUGUGAAGAAGGCCUUCGGGUUGUAAAGCACUUUCAGUAGGGAGGAAGAGUUGAGUGUUAAUAGUACCCAGCUUUGACGUUACCUACAGAAGAAGCACCGGCUAACUCUGUGCCAGCCGCCGCCGUAAGAC